rnacentral:lncRNA from 1 species
AUGCAGGAGGGCCCCUGUGCUGUUCACUCUCUGUCCAUCCAUCCAUCCGUUCAUCCUUCCAUCCAUCUGUCCUUUCAUCCAUCCAUCAUUCAUCUAUCCUUUUAUCAUCCAUCUAUUCACCCAUCUAUCCAUCCAUUCAUCCUUCCAUCAUCUGUUUACCUGUUCAUCCUUCCAUCCAUCAUCUUCCCGUACACCUGUGGGUCCUUCCAUCCAUCCAUCCAUCCAUCCAUCCAUUCACCUGUUUGUCUUUCCACCCAUUCAUCCAUCAUCCAUCCAUCCAUCAUCCAUCCCUCCGUCCAUCCGUCAUCCAUCCAUCAUCCAUCCAUCCGUCAUUCAUCUGGUCACCUCUUCAUCCAUCCAUUCACCGAUUUGUCCAUCCAUCCAUCCAUCCAUCUUUCCAUUAUCCAGCCAUUCAGCUGUUCAUCCUUCUAUCCAUCCAACCAUCUUCCAUCCAUCCAUCCAUUCACCUGUUCAUCCAUUCACCUGUUCCUCCAUCCCUCCAUCCAUUCUUCCAUCCAUCCUUUCAUCAUCCAUCCAUUCACCUGUUCAUUCUUCCAUGCAUCCAUCAUCCAUUCAUCCAUCAUCCAUCCAUCCUUCCAUCAUUCAUUCACUCGCCUCCUCAUCCUUCCAUCCAUCCAUCCUUUUAUCAUCCAUCCACCUAUUCAUCCUUCCAUCCAUCCAUUCACCUGUUCAUCCUUCCAUCCAUCCAUCACCCAUCCAUCCAUCCAUUUAUCCAUAUAUCCAUCCAUCAUCCAUCCAUCCUCCAUCCACUCAACUCCUGUUCAUCCAUCCAUCCGUUUAUCCAUUCAUCCAUCCAUCCUUCCAUCAUCUAUCCAUCCUUCCAUCAUCCAUCCAUUCAUCCGUUCAUCCUUCCAUCACCCAUUUAUCCAUCCAUCCAUCACCCAUCCAUCUGUCCAUUCAUCCAUCCAUCAUUCAUCCAUCCUUUUAUCAUCCAUCCAUUUACCUGUCUAUCCAUCCAUUUGCCUGUCUAUCCAUCCAUCUUUCCACCAACCAUCCAUUCACUUGUUCAUCCUUCCAUCCAUCAUUCAUCCAUCCAUCCAUUUAUCCAUCCAUCAUCCAUCCUUCCAUCAUCCAAUCAUCCAUCCAUUCAUCAGUUCAUCCUUCCAUCUCAUCCAUCCGUCCACCUCUCCAUCCACCCAUCUGUCCAUUCAUCCAUCCAUCAUUCAUACAUCCUUUUAUCAUCCAUUCAUUCACCUGCUCUUCCAUCCAUCAGUCCAUUCAUCCUUCCAUCAUCCAUCCAUUCACCUGUUCCUCCUUCCAUCCAUCAUCCAUCCAUCCACCUGUUCCUCCUUCCAUCCAUCAUCCAUCCAUCCAUCCAUUUAUCCAUCCAUCAUCCAUCCAUCUUUCCAGUAUCCAUCCACUCACCUCCUGUUCAUCCUUCCAUCCGUCCAUAAUUCAUCCACCCAUCCAUCCAACAUCCAUCCAUUCUUCCAUCAUCCAUCCUUUCACCCAUCCAUCCACUCACCUAUUCGUCCAUCCAUCCAUCAUUCAUCCAUCCACCCACCAAUCUAUCUAUUAAUCCAUCCCUCCAUUCAUCUAUCUGUCCAUUUGUUUAUCCAUACAUUGGUCUAUCCACCAUCUAUCCAUCCAUAUGUACAUACAUCAUCUACCCACCCAUCCAUACAGACAUACACACAUCAUUCCAACCACCCACCCACCCGUCCAUCCAUUCGUCUGUCCAUCCAUCCAUCCAAGCAUUCAUCUAUCCACAUACCCAUCCAUCCAUGUGUCUAUACAUCUGCUCAUCCAUUCAUCCAUCCAUCCACUCAUUCCUAA